UGUGACUGACUGGCCAACAGUCCAGUGUGAACCCUCUCCUCACCUGUAGUCAGCUGGGAUUGGCUCCAGCCCCUCCGCGACCCUGAUGGAUAGGCGGUGUAGAAAACGGAUGAUGGAGUCUGAGAAAAGACAGCACUGAUGUCAGCAUGCACCACCAGCCUCAGCAGUUCAAAUGUUUGCAGUGCUGCUUCCUAUCAUUGGAGGAGUGUGAUGACAGCUGAGAUCACACACCCAGCAGGACACACUGAGAGGCACGUACAGCAGAGAGGUCAAAGGUCACCAACCGACAAACCGCCUCAUCUGCCGACUGCUGGGACAUUUGGUUUAGUCCUGUUCGUGGCACCAAAAGCACAGAUUUUAAGACAGAAUAUGAUCUUCGGCUAACCUGAACAAAGUGCUUUUAUUGCGUCAACCUGAGUAGACCCUCACACAAUGUAAAGCCUGUGGAGUAAUGACACCAUCCGAUUGGUUCCCUAAAAACCUCACCUCCACCAACAUCUUCACCGUGCUGUUCUGUCUGCCCGGCAGUCCAGUCGGUGCCAGCAGAAAGUGAGCAGCAGUGAAACUCGAUGUUCGCUCCUCCAGCCGUCCUCCAGGCUCCAGGACGUGGUGUGUGUGAUCCACCCCGGCUCGGGUUACCCUCUCUGG